rnacentral:lncRNA from 10 species
CUGUGGAGUUACCGAAGUGGUGCGGGGCCUGGGGAAAGGCAGCCCAGGACAGUGAUGGCUCUGCUUUCUUAGAGACCCUCAGAAAUGAAGGCUCUCUACCCCACUGUGCCUCAUUCCCCCAGUCAUGGUCAGCCUAGCACUUCAAGCUAAAAUGACCUUGUUGGGAAGUUCUUCCUUCCAUCUACCUUGCCUCUCUCAUGCUGGAAUUCAGGCUUCUUUCUAUUUAGAUCCUUGUUGGAAGACAGAGAAGCCCUUUUCCAUCUUGAGUGGAAUUUGGAUUUGAGGACAGCUUUGGGCUCCUUGGAGACAGGUGCUGGGUGAAGGGCAGGUGUUGUCCUUAGCACUAUUAUGCCAUUAGCAUUACUCAUCUGCCGGGCUCCUGCUGAAUGCAGUAGCUCUCCGGGCGGGCAGCCACCCUCCCUCCUGUUUUUUCUGGAGAGAGGGAAAAAAAGGGGAGGUGGGGAGGUGUGGGGAAGUGUGGGCAGAAGGAGGAAGGGAAAGACACAGAGAGAUAAGGGGAGCCAGCGACCUCUAAGUCCAGGUUUCUGGGCCCUCACAGAGCUACAGGCACCUCCUGGAGCCCUUCAGUCCUGCUCCCUGGUCUGGCCUUGACUCUACUCCAGUUCCUGUUGCCCAGAGCCAGGCCCCAUCCCUCAUCCGGAGCCCAUGGUGGGUGGGCGUGGAGGUGGUUCAAAGCCUGCUCACUCCAGCUUCUCCUCUAGGGGUUUCCCUCCCAGGCUCUAAGCCCUGAAUUGGGCGCUGAUUUGACCAAGGGAAAGCACCCUUUUUCUUCUUUUCUCCCUUGGCUCCUGAGCCUAUCUUCAGGUGCCCUGCUGCCCUCCUGUGGGGGCUUCUGUGCCAGCCCUGCCAGGUCCCUCCACCACCCAUCUUUUUCCUCUCUGGUCACUCGGGCCUUUUGCGUGACAGCUUCUGCUCUCACAGAGUCCCCAAGCCACCCUCAGAGGAGUGAUCUAAAUUACUCAGGCUCCCCCUUUAGAAUAAAAGCUCGAUGAGGGCUUACAGUAUAUCCCAGCACCCUGCAGGCCUGGCAUUCAUUUGACAAACAUUUACUGAGCACCUAUUAUGUGGGUGGCACUAUAGUAAGCUCCGAGGGUAUAGCUGGGAAGAAAACAGACAUCAUCCUUGUCCUCCUGAGGUGUUCGGUCCAGUGGAAAAUACAGGAAUAAACAAACACAUAAAUGAACAUAAGCAUAUCACAACUGGUGGUGCUAUGAAGCAGGGAAAGGACACGUAGUAAGUCCUUAAAGGAAUGCAUGAAUCAUGAAUUAACUCCACAUUUUUUUUUUUUUUUUUGAGACGGAGUCUUACUCUGUCACCCAGGCUGGAGUGAAGUGGCGCAAUCUCGGCUCACUGCCACCUCUGCCUACUGAUUUCAAGUGAUUCUCCUGCUUCAGCCUCCCAAGUGGCUAGGACUAUAGGCACAUGCCACCACACCUGGCUAAUUUUUUUAUUUUAGUAGAGAUGGGAUUUCACCAUGUUGGCCAGGCUGGUCUCAAACUCCUGGAAUCUUGUGAUCCACCUGCCUCGGCCUCCCAAUAUGCUGGGAUUACAAGCGUGAACCACUGUACCCGGCCAACUCCACUUUUUUUUCUAUUUCCUUUUCUACUUUGCUUCCAAGCCUGCAGGCUGGUCUGGUCUGUGCCACCUAAAAAUAUCUCUAAUUAUAUCCUGUCCUAA